UUCCACCGUAAAGGGGAGUAGCGUCAGGAUUAUUCCUGAAACAAAGUCGUCAUUCCAUGAACCUUGAUUGUUCAUCGGCUUUGUUGGCAUAAAAUUGUGCU
rnacentral:sRNA from 2 species